CCCAGUGAGAAGUCAGGAAACAGAGUGCCUUCCCGGGGCUCCUUGCCUCCUACCUUGGAUGGGGAGCAGUCAUCACUCUGAAACUCUCAUCCUCAACUCUCAUUGUCAAGUGUACUUUUUAAAGUGUAUGGUUCCAAGAAGUCUGAGUCUCCUGACUGGUUUGGAUGUCCUCACACGCUCACGAUUCCUUCAGGGAGAACCGUAGGUGCCAUGGGGAAGAAUAUUAAAAAAGAGCGAGAGAGACAGACCCAAGAGAAUAUACCUGUCCUUUUUGCCACACAAGGACACAGCUAGAAGAUGCCAGCUUUGAAGCAGAGAGAGAGAUCUCAACAGACACCAGCUGUGCUGGCCUCCAGACCUUUUUCACUCUUCCUAAGUUACGAUGAUACUGAAUAGCAAGUAAAACCAUGCCAUGAUAAUUCAAGAACGAAACCAUGGGAAAUAAAGCUUUAAAUAUAUAAUUAUCUUAACAGGUGCUUUUUCUGCUUUUGGACUUUCAUUUUGCUUAGAUUAUGGAGCCGGCCCUAUUGCAUAUGUAUGAAGUUGUACAAUUGUGCUUUAUUGCACCUUUUUUAGCCCAGCAGAGGCCAUUUAUGAGCUUCUCCGUGCUGUGUGUAGC